rnacentral:lncRNA from 1 species
CUGUGCCGCCGCCGAGCCUCGUCGCGGCCGCCCGGCUUCGCUGAGGGAGCGCGAGCGCGAAGCGGCGCCGCGUAGGAAAGGGACGCGGUGCUCAGGGCCCGACCCUCGGCCCCUCGCGCCCGCCCGCCCCGCUCAGGGGUAGCGCUCCCGGGCUGGAGGCGAUUGUUUGGGCACAACGGCAUCUGCGGCGUCACGGCCCCCAGCGUUCCACCCGGGCUCCGGCAAAAUGGCUCUCCAUGCGCCAAGAAAGGAGAACGCCGCGGCUGGAGCCCGUCCCGCAGCUCCCGGUUGCAAAACAUCUGUAUUCCCAACUAGUUUGUUUAUGGACUUUCUGAUGGCAAGGAGGCAGAAGAGUAGCAGAACUACUUAGAGCAAUUCCAUUACCCAAAAAAGCUGUCUCUAAGGUCUGCGGCAUUUAACAGACUCCCUUCAAAUUUGAUUUCACCAGAGAAAGGGAACAAGCAAAACCUUCCAAAGUAGAAGAUGAACUAUUCAAAGCUCACCUGAAGUGAAACAAGAUGGACACCCUCUGAGGCUGCACAGCAGCCUCAAUGCCAGCAGCAGUGAUGCCAGAGCCAGCCGAGGAAAAGCCCUUGUGUCAGCACUGGACAUUUCCUCCAGAACAGAUACUGUGGUGGGAUGAGGAGGAUGUACAGAGCAAGCUGUUACCAUGGCUGUUGACUGCUGCUGGCUGGAUUGGGAACGUGCAUGAAGAGAGGUGUCUCAGAAGAAUAUUGCUCUCUGCUCUGUAAAGCUUUUUGUGCUGACAGAAAAUCUCUAGGG